CUGAAGAGAGGAGCUUGCUCUUCUUGGAUGAGUUGCGAACGGGUGAGUAACGCGUAGGUAACCUGCCUUGUAGCGGGGGAUAACUAUUGGAAACGAUAGCUAAUACCGCAUAACAAUGGAUGACACAUGUCAUUUAUUUGAAAGGGGCAAUUGCUCCACUACAAGAUGGACCUGCGUUGUAUUAGCUAGUAGGUGAGGUAAUGGCUCACCUAGGCGACGAUACAUAGCCGACCUGAGAGGGUGAUCGGCCACACUGGGACUGAGACACGGCCCAGACUCCUACGGGAGGCAGCAGUAGGGAAUCUUCGGCAAUGGGGGCAACCCUGACCGAGCAACGCCGCGUGAGUGAAGAAGGUUUUCGGAUCGUAAAGCUCUGUUGUAAGUCAAGAACGGGUGUGAGAGUGGAAAGUUCACACUGUGACGGUAGCUUACCAGAAAGGGACGGCUAACUACGUGCCAGCAGCCGCGGUAAUACGUAGGUCCCGAGCGUUGUCCGGAUUUAUUGGGCGUAAAGCGAGCGCAGGCGGUUUGAUAAGUCUGAAGUUAAAGGCUGUGGCUCAACCAUAGUUCGCUUUGGAAACUGUCAAACUUGAGUGCAGAAGGGGAGAGUGGAAUUCCAUGUGUAGCGGUGAAAUGCGUAGAUAUAUGGAGGAACACCGGUGGCGAAAGCGGCUCUCUGGUCUGUAACUGACGCUGAGGCUCGAAAGCGUGGGGAGCGAACAGGAUUAGAUACCCUGGUAGUCCACGCCGUAAACGAUGAGUGCUAGGUGUUGGAUCCUUUCCGGGAUUCAGUGCCGCAGCUAACGCAUUAAGCACUCCGCCUGGGGAGUACGACCGCAAGGUUGAAACUCAAAGGAAUUGACGGGGGCCCGCACAAGCGGUGGAGCAUGUGGUUUAAUUCGAAGCAACGCGAAGAACCUUACCAGGUCUUGACAUCCCGAUGCUAUUUCUAGAGAUAGAAAGUUACUUCGGUACAUCGGUGACAGGUGGUGCAUGGUUGUCGUCAGCUCGUGUCGUGAGAUGUUGGGUUAAGUCCCGCAACGAGCGCAACCCCUAUUGUUAGUUGCCAUCAUUCAGUUGGGCACUCUAGCGAGACUGCCGGUAAUAAACCGGAGGAAGGUGGGGAUGACGUCAAAUCAUCAUGCCCCUUAUGACCUGGGCUACACACGUGCUACAAUGGUUGGUACAACGAGUUGCGAGUCGGUGACGGCGAGCUAAUCUCUUAAAGCCAAUCUCAGUUCGGAUUGUAGGCUGCAACUCGCCUACAUGAAGUCGGAAUCGCUAGUAAUCGCGGAUCAGCACGCCGCGGUGAAUACGUUCCCGGGCCUUGUACACACCGCCCGUCACACCACGAGAGUU
rnacentral:rRNA from 2 species